rnacentral:lncRNA from 1 species
UUAAGUCAGCCAAUUCUUUCUCUCUUUCUUUUUCUUUUGGCCGUUCGUUAUCUCUUCAGGUUUUGCAUUUUUUUUCCCCUUGUUUUCUUCAUGUCGUCCCCCUCCCUCCUGAAGGAGAGGUAAAACUCAACGUGGGUGAAAGAGAGUGGCCACCUCCUCAAACCAUUUUGCACGUUUAAAGAAAAUGUGAGUAAUUGCUUCCCCAAUUUCUUUUAUUAUAUAUACAUAUUUUAUAUAUUUUAUAUAUAUAUAUAUUAUUAAUUUAUUAGUUUAUUACUUAUUUGUAAUUAGGUGGUUCAGAUUCUUUUGUUGAUCAAUUUCCACCUUAAUUUUGCUUACCACUUAGAACUCACUUUCCUAGAAUGCAGGAGCCACUUCCAUUGGAAAUUAUCCCAGUUUCAUUUUCAGUUUGUGAGUCUUUGUAGAUUUGCCAAUGGGGUAUCGACUCUUAACGGAUAAAACAAUGGUUUUGAAGAUUUGCCCGUAAAGCUCCGGUAUUUUCACCAGCUCGAGUGUUUUCAACAUCACCACCUUCUCCUUGUUAUUUGCCUUUACCAGCAGUGUUGUUCAUGGCUUUGUUCUGUCCUAGCAACAACAUGAAAACAAAUCAACAAAAAAGAGAUAGGUCCUCGUCGGAUCCUCUUUGUGAGGAUCACGAGGAUUCUUUAAUCCUGUCAUUCCAUCGUACAUCGUGCAAUCAGAAAUCAUUUUAAAUUAUAUGAUUCAAAAUUGAACACAAACAGUACCUGACGAAAAUUGACCGCACGAUGUAUGAUGAACGAACAUGAUUAAAGGAUCUCCGGGAUCCUCACAAAGAGGAUCCGGCGAGGAUCCUAUCUCAACAAAAAAAUGCAUUGAUCUACUAACAAUUUGAUACUUUAUGUCUUCAAAUAAAAAACAAGAUCAAAUAGCUACAAUAUUUCCCCAGGUAAACAAAAUUAUCAAUUAAAAAUAUUGAACACUAACUAUUUCUCGAAUUGGAUAGGGGUACCGAUACUAUUUCUUAAAUAGAACAUUAGUACUAUUAUUAUUUCUUAAACUGAAUACUAGCACUAUCAAUAUUUCUUAAACUGAACAUUCAUUAUUUCUUAAACUAAGCACUGGUACUGUCACUAUUUCUUAAACUGAACAUUCACUAUUUCGUAAACUGAACACAAAUAUUAUUACUAUUUCUUAAACUGAAUAUUCACUAUUUUGUAUACUGAACACGGGUAUUAUCAUUAUUUCUUAAACUUAACACUAAUAUUAUUACUAUUUCUUAAGCUGAAUACUGACUAUUUCUUAAAUUGAACACUGACUAUUUUUAUAAUUGAAUACAGGUACUGUCACUAUUUCUUAAACCAGAAAUAGUGAAUUAGGGUUUAGUUAUUAUGAUAUAUUGUUGGAUUAUGAUUAACAUAUAAUUGUGUUCUGGCCUUAUAGAAAAAAAGGUACACACCAUGUUAAAUACAUGUAGGUAUUUAUAUAUAAAUAUAUAUUACGCACGUAUACUGUAAUUCCAACUUUUGAUAGAUCAAGCCAUGAGUUUCCCAGUCCCCUUCAUGCACCUGGAUACUGCCAGAACAAAUUUUUGGGACGUGUGGCGAGCCUGGCUCUUGAAGAUGUUGUAGAACUUCUCAGCAGGUGCCUUGAUUUCGAUCUCAGUCUCAACCUUACCGUGCAGAGUCAUGUUUAUGAUCAGUUGGGAUGGCACCAUAAUUAAUCAAUUUGCACCAUACUACUAAAUUUUUUUAAUUUUUCAUCAUUUCUUUCGUUAAGUAGGUGUGCUAUCCGCAUGACUGCCUUCAAAGGGUAAAAAAGUCAUUUUACCUACACCUUCUGUCUUCUUUCUUUUCUCCGAACUUUCUCUUCUUCUUCCUUUUCACCAAGCCGAGCCCGUGCUGUUCCACCAUGCUCCACCGGCACGAUUUUCCGGCGAACACCAAAAGAAACAAUGGGAGGGAUCUGAGCUCGUAGAUUCGCGUUCACUACAUCCCUUUCUUACACUCAUCGCAAACCCUACCCUCCUAUUCCAGUGGGUACACCUCCCCCGUCGCCAUUGAGUUUCUGAAUAAAAACCGCGCGUACAACUCGACCACCACCGCCGCCACUCCUACGGCUCCCAUAGCCACCAACGCGUGCUCUCGCGAAGACCCGCACCUGAAGUUGGUGCCUUCGAUUAUGAUCGAGUACUUGGACUUUGUCUCUCCCGGAUCCACGAAGCGCAUGGAGUAGGAGGCGGGGAGGCCGCAGAGCGCGUAAGACCCAAGCUUGGCGAUGUGGGGAGAAGAUGAGAUAGAUUUGAUCAAGCCUUGCCAAAGAAUCUGGGAAGUACAAAAUAAUAGGAAUAUUAUUAAACUAACGAGAAUGCGGGAAUGGCUACAAAACCCUAGAAUGCUACAUUGUGACUAAUUUAUUGUUCUACGAGCUACAAAGCAUCAUAUAUAUAGAGAACUAACAUAACCCUAGUAGGCAAGAAAACGAAACCCUAAUACUAACGGGCUAAGCCCAAAUUCAAACAAUAAAAUAAUCAUAAAUUCUAACACCCCCCAUCAAACUCAUGACGGUAUACGGCAAGAGUUUGGAACAAGAAGAGGCGGAUGCAAGCUCCGUUAGGCAGACACGACAAAACAAGCUCCGUAGGCGGACACGACAAAGCAAGCUCCGUUAGGCGGACACAAUAAGGCAAGCGGGUGAGCAACCAAGUGAGCAAAUGAACAAUCCAAGCUUCAAUCAACAAGGCCCAACCAAAGGCCUUCAAACAAAUCAUAAUAGCAACAACACGUUUGCCCCAACAAAAAGCAACAAAUACUGCCUACCAACUCUUUUCCACUAGCAACUUUUCACAGGUCAACAAACUUUUUUUUUCUUUGCUUUCUUCCUUCGAUCUGCGAACAAAGUGUGGUAACAAAUGGUGGGUGCGGCGGUUGCUGGGUAGGGCAAGCAAAUUCAUCUCUAGGUGCAGUUAUGGGACGACAUCAGGUUACAAGUCCGGGCAGCAAUGGUUCCAGGUGGGUUCAACGGAUUAUGGGUAGCAAUGGGUUUCGAUAUGGGCUUCAAAAAGUUGUCAGGCAGCAGCAAUGCGAAUCGAUUCAGAUGGUACAGGCUAUAGCAACGAGUGCGAUGGCCAACUCGUGCAUGCGUCAUUGGGUGGCAAGACGACGACGUGAUGCAUGCAGCAAAUAGAUUCAAUUUUUUCUCCCUUUUUUUAAGCAACAAAACCCUAACUAGGGCACAACGACAAACCACAACGAAGAAGAGGAAUGUGACAAGACAAACAAACUAGCUACCAAGAACAGAUUCAACCCAUCAAACCUGCUAUGAUACCAAGUUGAAUAUCAGAGUGCGCAACGAACAAGACUACAAAAUAAUAUGAAUAUUAUUAAACUAACGAGAAUGUCAGAAUGACUACAAAACCAUAGAAGGCUACAUUGUGACUAACUUAUUGUUUUACGAGCUAUAAAGCAUCAUGUAUAUAGAGAACUAACCUAACCCUAAUAAGCAAGAAAACGAAACCCUAAUACUGAUGGGUUAAGCUCAAAUUCAAACAAUAAAAUAAUCCUAAAUUCCAACACUCCACAUACUCUACUGCACCAAAUUCCCCUUUCUCUCUCUUCUCUUCUAUUCUCUCUCUCUCUCUGCUUUUCCUUUUCACAUUGCUUCUUAUUGAUGACCCACAACCACUCUAACACGUUGCCGCUACUCUCUUCCUUCCUUUCCUUUCCUUGUAAGAAAACAAGUAUUCUUCCCCUCCUCUGAGCGCUUUUUACUCUCAGAGAUUUUCCCCAACUGAGUUUUUCAUUUACUGCAAAAACAUAUUUUCUUUUGGGGUUUGGGGUUUAAAGGGAGGGUUUUUCUCUGUUUAUUUACAAAUUUAUUGAAAAGUUGAGCUCUUUGUGCUUCCGAUGUAAUGAGUUCUCUUUCCUUUAAAGGGUCUUGUUUGGUAACUUUGGUUACUGAGAAAAUGAGCGUUCUCUAUCGUUUGGUAUGCAGACGGGACGGGACGAAACGGAAUGGGACGGGACAGGACGGGACAGAACAGAGAGGAAGCGAAGAUGCCCUCGGAUGGAAACAAGAAGGAAGAAGAAGAAGAUGGAGAGGUUAUAAUUUUGUGUUCCACAGAUGUGGAACGAGUCGUUCCAGGGGGAUGAGGUGGAACAAAAAUUCACCAAAAACUCGUUAUGUGGAACAGUAUGUUCCACCCGUUUUAGGCGCACCAAACAUGGGACAGAACGCCCCGUCCCACGUACCAAACGGUACCUAAGAGAUGAAUUUGGGGAGUACAAAGUGAAAGUGUUGGUGGAGAGAAUGGAAUGUGCAGGGGAAUGACUUUUUUGCCCUUUAAAGGGUAGUCAUGUGGAUAGCACGCGACCUACUUAAUGUAAGAAUAGAUGAAAAAUUAAAAAAAUUGACAAAAUGUGCAAAUUGACUAAUUAUGAGAAUUGAGGGAGGAAAUUGACCAAAAUUAGAGUUGAGAGAGGAAAUUGGCCAAUGUUUACAAGUUAAUUAUGAAUACCUGUAUUAAUUUAUGCGAUAACUUAGAAAAAGUAGUGCUUCAAAGGAUCGCAUGAAAAACAUUCGUUUAUUAAAAAAAUUCAGAUAAAGGAAAUAUAUAAGACAAACGUACGUAAUCACUUUCGGUUCGAUUAUGAACAUGAUUUGGAUCAAUAAUAUUAGGGUGCUAUAUAUUAUUGAUAUUAUUAGAUUUCAAUAACCAAUCACUGGUUUUUUUGCAAUAUUAUACUUGUACAUUUUCAAGCUACCACAUUUUUUUCCUUCUGGAUGUAUGAAAAUUUAGGUAUUGCGUUUGUUCCUUUGUUAAGAAGUCAUCCCCAACUCCCUUGCCCUAUUAUUUUUAUCAAGGAAAAAUAACUCCCCAGUUUAAAAGCUAUAUAAUUAACCAGCAUGAAUGCUGGACAACUGUCGAAAGCAAAACUCAAAAUUCAUUGUAUAAUUAACAGUGAGACUAAAGGCUGACUAAGAACAUGAUUGUCAAAAGUUAUAUAAAAAAAAUAUAUAUCAGAGUAAAUCUCCAACAAAUCAGAAAGUAAAUCGUUAAAAUAUAGAGUAUACAUACAUAUAAAGUGAAUAAUUAAUAUAGAAUAUCUUUUGUACUAAAAAAUAUAUAUAUAUAUAUAAUGUUGAGAAUGAAUUUCACAUUAAUAGGAAGAAGGACUUUGCAUAAACUUAUAAGUAAGUUGGGCUACUCUCUCAUAUUGCCAAUUGAUUUUAUGAUAGAACAUCAACUUUCUUCAUGGUACCAGAGUAGGUUGUCUCACAUAUGAAGCCAAACGGCCACGUGCGCUCCAUGUCACCCCUUUGUGUUGUCCACGCGUUAGGCUUGAAAAUUCGUCACACGUGAAAGGAUGUGUUGAAAAUGAAUCUCACAUUGAUGGGAUGAACGACCUUACAUAUUGGACAAAUAUUGUAGAGUACACCACAUUUUAUUUAUAGAUGAUCGACAACCAUAAUCUAUUACAUCACAAUGUCAUAUAUGACAUCCUUCGUACAUCUUUUAAAAUACACACAAACCUAAUUAAGAAAAGCAUUUUAUUUAAGUAGGUACGCAUUGAUGAACAUAUGCAUGCAUGAUUACAUAUAAUUGAACCCUUUCUAACAAGACCAGCAAAAGCUCUUUCCAACCGUUGCAUAUGCUGCAGCCUGCAGAUAUGGUUUUUAUUCGUUAAUUUAUUUAUUUAUGCUCCCAGAAAGUGAGCGUCAAGAUCCUGGACGAGUUUAACCAUCAAACCGACAUAUCUAUCUGGAGCUUCAACAUUCUCAUUCAGUUUCUCGUAUUCGAUCCACAGGUUGGCAAUGCAGGUGCUUUCAUCUUUUUGAGUGAAUUUAUAGACACCCUUGAAGCUGUUAUAACUAUGAGUGUAUGAUGAUCUGAGCACAACUGUUAAGGUAUACAUACAUAUAAAGUGAAUAAUUAAACAGGAAAAUUGAAGUAGUGGUACCUAGUUCAUAUUUCCAAAUCUUAAUAGAGCCGUGUGUUUCCCAG